CCCGUUAGGGGUGACCUGCGGAAGGAUCAUUACCGAGUGCGGGUCCUUUGGGCCCAACCUCCCAUCCGUGUCUAUUGUACCCUGUUGCUUCGGCGGGCCCGCCGCUUGUCGGCCGCCGGGGGGGCGCCUCUGCCCCCCGGGCCCGUGCCCGCCGGAGACCCCAACACGAACACUGUCUGAAAGCGUGCAGUCUGAGUUGAUUGAAUGCAAUCAGUUAAAACUUUCAACAAUGGAUCUCUUGGUUCCGGCAUCGAUGAAGAACGCAGCGAAAUGCGAUAACUAAUGUGAAUUGCAGAAUUCAGUGAAUCAUCGAGUCUUUGAACGCACAUUGCGCCCCCUGGUAUUCCGGGGGGCAUGCCUGUCCGAGCGUCAUUGCUGCCCUCAAGCCCGGCUUGUGUGUUGGGUCGCCGUCCCCCUCUCCGGGGGGACGGGCCCGAAAGGCAGCGGCGGCACCGCGUCCGAUCCUCGAGCGUAUGGGGCUUUGUCACAUGCUCUGUAGGAUUGGCCGGCGCCUGCCGACGUUUUCCAACCAUUCUUCCAGGUGACCUCGGAUCAGUAG
rnacentral:rRNA from 1 species